rnacentral:rRNA from 1 species
ACAAGCAGCGGAGCGUGUGGUUUAAUUCGAUGCAACGCGAAGAACCUUACCAGGGUUUGACAUGCUUAAAGUAGGAACUCGAAAGAGGGACGACCUGUAUCCAGUCAGGAGUUUGCACAGGUGCUGCAUGGCUGUCGUCAGCUCGUGCCGUGAGGUGUUAGGUUAAGUCCUGCAACGAGCGCAACCCUCGUCGCUAGUUGUUUUCUCUAGCGAUACUGCCCGUAUAACGUGGAGGAAGGUGGGGAUGACGUCAAGUCAGCAUGGCCCUUACAUCCUGGGCUACACACACGCUACAAUGGGUGAUACAACAGGUUGCAAUAGAGUAAUCUGGAGCUAAUCCCUAAAAUCAUCCUCAGUACGGAUUGCAGGCUGAAACUGCCUGCAUGAAGUUGGAGUUGCUAGUAAACGCAGGUCAGCACACUGCGUUGAAUACGUUCUCGGGCCUU